UCACAGCCCCCACCCCACUGGAUAGUUGCAAGGCCUGAGGGGAACAGGAUGCAUAUGGAGCAUUUCAUGUGGGGCCUGGAACACAGUAGAGCUCAUGGAGUCUUCUCUUCCAGCAGGACUGCCAGGACCAGAGGCCACACAGGCUUCUAGUUCAGACUCUUCAGCCUCCAACACAGACCCUCUGGCUUCCCAGUAUAAAUUUUGAAGGUACUCUGCAGUGAGCUCCAGCACUCUUGCACUUUUGCCUGGAUCAUGCAGCUCUCCAGUACACCGACGGCCCUUUGCAUUCUUCCAUACCUGUCUCCGCAGGUGCCCACUGCAAGCCUACAUUGUGCCACAGGGUGAAUAGCAUUUCUUGUUCUGCCUUGGAGCCAACCAGUUCCUGAAUCCUCUGAGAACUCUGGCCUUGUGGCCUCUUCGUACAGCAGACUGCCUUGUGAAUGACUCUCUCAGGGAGCAUGUGCAGAAGAAGCCCAGAGCCUCACUCCAUGGGAACGGAAGAGACAGAGCUCAAGAAUGGGCUAAUAUCAGCAGCUGAAUGGAGAAGGUCAUGCUGCUUCUGGAAGCUGACACAGCUAAGCCUGUAAAUGAGCUGAUGAGAGCUCUUUCUCAGGGUUGUUCCCGAGGGCUGUGUGUACAGAGAAGGAUUGGCAGUGUAGCUUCACAUAUGAGGAACAGAGCAAGACACCAAGGCUGUUCUCCAACCACAUGUCCUCACUCAUCUGCUUUAUUCAAUUCUAUUUGUACAAAAGGUUUGAGUUAAUGGGCAGACUAUGUCUUUAGGGAUUAAGAGCUAUGCAAAUAAUACCUAAUGGAAGACUCAAUUAGCAGAUGUCCUGCCCGUGUUAUUUCCACUUGUAGGAAUAAGACCUGCUAAUAGGAAGAAUGAAUCAUUCUCACCAUAUUUAAGCACUGAUUUUCAAAUGCCUUCUUUACCAAAAUAAUAGUCACUACACUAAAACAGGCCUGGUGGUACAUAGUAACAAAACCCACAAAUACCUUUCUAUAAAGAGAAUUAACAUAUUAUGGUUACAGUUGAAGAGCAAGUAUGAUAA